rnacentral:rRNA from 2 species
GGCGGCGUGCCUAAUACAUGCAAGUCGAGCGGACAUUUGAGAGCUUGCUCUCAAAUGUUAGCGGCGGACGGGUGAGUAACACGUGGGUAACCUGCCUGUAAGAUUGGGAUAACUCCGGGAAACCGGAGCUAAUACCGGAUAACAUUUUGAACCGCAUGGUUCGAAAUUGAAAGAUGGCCUUUGGCUAUCACUUACAGAUGGACCCGCGGCGCAUUAGCUAGUUGGUGAGGUAAUGGCUCACCAAGGCGACGAUGCGUAGCCGACCUGAGAGGGUGAUCGGCCACACUGGGACUGAGACACGGCCCAGACUCCUACGGGAGGCAGCAGUAGGGAAUCUUCCGCAAUGGACGAAAGUCUGACGGAGCAACGCCGCGUGAACGAUGAAGGCCUUCGGGUCGUAAAGUUCUGUUGUUAGGGAAGAACAAGUACCAGAGUAACUGCUGGUACCUUGACGGUACCUAACCAGAAAGCCACGGCUAACUACGUGCCAGCAGCCGCGGUAAUACGUAGGUGGCAAGCGUUGUCCGGAAUUAUUGGGCGUAAAGCGCGCGCAGGCGGUUUUUUAAGUCUGAUGUGAAAGCCCACGGCUCAACCGUGGAGGGUCAUUGGAAACUGGAGAACUUGAGUGCAGAAGAGGAGAGCGGAAUUCCACGUGUAGCGGUGAAAUGCGUAGAGAUGUGGAGGAACACCAGUGGCGAAGGCGGCUCUCUGGUCUGUAACUGACGCUGAG